AAGAUGUUACUUUGACAAACUUUACAGUCUUAAUUGGCGGAAAUAAUAACGACCUUAUGAACCACCUACUUCUUGCCAGUAAACAAUACACCCAUGUAUCAAGUAUUAAAAAAAAUAAGCUAUCACUGGAUACAUUUGUAAAAUUAUUGAGUGAUAUUUUCAAGACAGAAAAGUUUAUUGCCAAUAA